rnacentral:rRNA from 1 species
CCUGGUUGAUCCUGCCAGUAGUCAUAUGCUUGUCUCAAAGAUUAAGCCAUGCAUGUCUAAGUGCAUGCCAAAUUAAGGUGAAACCGCGAAUGGCUCAUUAAAUCAGUUAUGGUUCCUUAGAUCGUACCCACAUUUACUUGGAUAACUGUGGUAAUUCUAGAGCUAAUACAUGCAAACCAGAGUUCCGACCAGAGAUGGAAGGAACGCUUUUAUUAGAUCAAAACCAAUCGGUGGCGGGCUUUGCUCGUCCACCGUUUACUUUGGUGACUCUGAAUAACUUUGUGCUGAUCGCACGGUCUCGUACCGGCGACGCAUCUUUCAAAUGUCUGCCUUAUCAACUGUCGAUGGUAGGUUCUGCGCCUACCAUGGUUGUAACGGGUAACGGGGAAUCAGGGUUCGAUUCCGGAGAGGGAGCCUGAGAAACGGCUACCACAUCCAAGGAAGGCAGCAGGCGCGCAAAUUACCCACUCCCGGCACGGGGAGGUAGUGACGAAAAAUAACGAUACGGGACUCAUCCGAGGCCCCGUAAUCGGAAUGAGUACACUUUAAAUCCUUUAACGAGGAUCAAUUGGAGGGCAAGUCUGGUGCCAGCAGCCGCGGUAAUUCCAGCUCCAAUAGCGUAUAUUAAAGUUGUUGCGGUUAAAAAGCUCGUAGUUGAAUCUGUGUCGCACGCUGUCGGUUCGCCGCUCGCGGGGUUUAACUGACAUGCUCGUGAGACGUCCUACCGGUGGGCUUAGCUCCUUCGGGGGCGGUCCAACUAAUAUCCCAUCGCGGUGCUCUUUAUUGAGUGUCGAGGUGGGCCGGUACGUUUACUUUGAACAAAUUAGAGUGCUUAAAGCAGGCUAUCAUUUGCCUGAAUAUUCUGUGCAUGGAAUAAUGGAAUAGGACCUCGGUUCUAUUUUGUUGGUUUUAAGAAACCCGAGGUAAUGAUUAAUAGGGACAGAUGGGGGCAUUCGUAUUGCGACGUUAGAGGUGAAAUUCUUGGAUCGUCGCAAGACGGACAGAAGCGAAAGCAUUUGCCAAAAAUGUUUUCAUUAAUCAAGAACGAAAGUUAGAGGUUCGAAGGCGAUCAGAUACCGCCCUAGUUCUAACCAUAAACGAUGCCAGCUAGCGAUCCGCCGAAGUUCCUCCGAUGACUCGGCGGGCAGCUUCCGGGAAACCAAAGCUUUUGGGUUCCGGGGGAAGUAUGGUUGCAAAGCUGAAACUUAAAGGAAUUGACGGAAGGGCACCACCAGGAGUGGAGCCUGCGGCUUAAUUUGACUCAAUACGGGAAACCUCACCAGGCCCGGACACCGGAAGGAUUGACAGAUUGAGAGCUCUUUCUUGAUUCGGUGGGUGGUGGUGCAUGGCCGUUCUUAGUUGGUGGAGCGAUUUGUCUGGUUAAUUCCGAUAACGAACGAGACUCUAGCCUGCUAAAUAGGCGUACCUUAUGGUAUCUUGAAGGCCCCCGGCUUCGGUCGGUG